rnacentral:rRNA from 1 species
CAGCAGCCGCGGUAAUACGUAGGUGGCAAGCGUUGUCCGGAAUUAUUGGGCGUAAAGGGCUCGCAGGCGGUUUCUUAAGUCUGAUGUGAAAGCCCCCGGCUCAACCGGGGAGGGUCAUUGGAAACUGGGAAACUUGAGUGCAGAGGAGGAGAGUGGAAUUCCACGUGUAGCGGUGAAAUGCGUAGAGAUGUGGAGGAACGCCAGUGGCGAAGGCGACUCUCUGGUCUGUAACUGACGCUGAGGAGCGAAAGCGUGGGGAGCGAACAGGAUUAGAUACCCCCGUAGUCCCUGUCUCUUAUAC